rnacentral:rRNA from 1 species
UAAGGGGGGUACUAGCGUUGUUCGGAAUUACUGGGCGUAAAGCGCACGUAGGCGGAUUUGUAAGUAAGGGGUGAAAUCCCGGGGCUCAACCUCGGAACUGCCUUUGAUACUGCAAAUCUCGAGGCCGGAAGAGGUGAGUGGAAUUCCUAGUGUAGAGGUGAAAUUCGUAGAUAUUAGGAAGAACACCAGUGGCGAAGGCGGCUCACUGGUCCGGUACUGACGCUGAGGUGAGAAAGCGUGGGGAGCAAACAGG